UACGUAGGUGGCAAGCGUUGUCCGGAUUUAUUGGGGUUAAAGGGCGCGUAGGCGGUCCGAUAAGUCCCGUGUGAAAGCCCCCGGCUCAACUGGGGAACUGCACGGGAAACUGACGGACUUGAGUUCGGGAGAGGGAAGCGGAAUUCCGGGUGUAGCGGUGAAAUGCGUAGAUAUCCGGAGGAACACCGGUGGCGAAGGCGGCUUCCUGGACCGACACUGACGCUGAGGCGCGAAAGCUAGGGGAGCAAACGGG
rnacentral:rRNA from 1 species